rnacentral:rRNA from 1 species
CCUACGGGUGGCAGCAGUGAGGAAUAUUGGUCAAUGGACGUGAGUCUGAACCAGCCAAGUAGCGUGAAGGAUGACUGCCCUAUGGGUUGUAAACUUCUUUUAUAGGGGAAUAAAGGUAUCCACGUGUGGGAUUUUGUAUGUACCAUAUGAAUAAGGAUCGGCUAACUCCGUGCCAGCAGCCGCGGUAAUACGGAGGAUCCGAGCGUUAUCCGGAUUUAUUGGGUUUAAAGGGAGCGUAGGUUGUUGUUUAAGUCAGUUGUGAAAGUUUGCGGCUCAACCGUAAAAUUGGAGUUGAAACUGGCAGUAUUGAGUACAGUAGAGGUGAGCGGAAUUCGUGGUGUAGCCGUGAAAUGCUAAGAUAUCACGAAGAACUCCGAUUGCGAAGGCAGUUCACUGAACUGCAACUGACAACGAAGCUCGAAAGUGUGGGUAUCAAACAGGAUUAGAUACCCUUGUAGUC